ensembl:snoRNA SNORA70 Small nucleolar RNA SNORA70
AUGUAGAAACUACUUGGUGUGCAAUGGCUCCAAACAGCAGCCUCCUUGGUAGUAUAUGCAGCCUGUUGCUUGUAUGGGUUGUUUUAAGGGACCCUGGAGACAGUC